rnacentral:tRNA from 1 species
GUGGGUGUAGCUCAAUGGUAGAGCACACGCUUGGCAUACAUGAGGACCUGGGUUCAAUCUCCAGUGCCUCCU